UCUCGGCAACUGCACAAUCGUUCCUCUUCGAUCGAGUUUGGCUGAUAGACUUUUAAAAAUUUACCUAGUACUUAUUUUAUCAGGAGAAAAAUCGAAUUAGUGAAAAACUACUUAAUUUCCUACCUAAUUUCAUCAAGAAAGUGCCAUGUGCCAGGUGUUUAGCCCGAAAUCUUUACGACGCCGUUGACGUGUUUGAAUAAGUCAAUUAACUCACGAUAUUACCCCAAAUCCAGAGGCGAUGGGAGGUUCCUUGGUUGCCUCGAAUUCAUUAAAAUCGUUGCCGUGGAAUCUAUCCUAAGUUGCCCACCGAAGCCAUAGAAAGCGUUAAUUAUUCAUUUUGCUCUAAAAUAUCAAUUACACAUUGAUAACGGCCAUAAAUUAGUUCCUCGAGUCAGAACCAGUUCGGCGCUGGACGAUUCCGUGAAGUAAAAAGCCAUCUUAAUGCGCAUCAAACCAAGUCAUUCAACAACUCGUAGACAUGUUUGUGUGCAAAUAUGGGUAAAUAUAAGUUAACCAGCAAAUAUAAAUGUAGCAAAUCAAGAAGCGGCAUACCAGCUUUUAAUAUGAAGCAUGUUUAGUUUUUAAAAUAUUUUAAGCAAAGUCCUUCUCGCAGAAAUAUUUCGAAGUAUUUCUGAAACAAAAAUAUUUCUUCUUCUAUUUGGUGUAUCGUCGUACGCGGACAUGCCGGCCUAUACAUACUUUCAAGACUUUUUCAGAACCGCGGAGCACAGCCUUAUAGUGAGCCUUUGUCACGGGGGAU